rnacentral:rRNA from 1 species
UACGAAGGGUGCAAGCGUUAAUCGGAAUUACUGGGCGUAAAGGGUGCGUAGGCGGUUCGUUAAGUCUGUUGUGAAAUCCUCGGGCUCAACCUGGGAAUGGCAAUGGAUACUGGCGGGCUAGAGUGUGUCAGAGGAUGGUGGAAUUCCCGGUGUAGCGGUGAAAUGCGUAGAGAUCGGGAGGAACAUCAGUGGCGAAGGCGGCCAUCUGGGACAACACUGACGCUGAAGCACGAAAGCGUGGGGAGCAAACAGG